rnacentral:tRNA from 1 species
GAAUUUUUAGUUUAAUUAGAAUAACUCACUUACAAUGAGUAGGUUUAAAAUUCU